rnacentral:misc_RNA from 1 species
GAUGAAGAACGAAGCGAAAUGCGAUAAGUAAUGUGAAUUGCAGAAUUCAGUGAAUCAUCGAAUCUUUGAACGCACAUUGCGCCCGCCAGUAUUCUGGCGGGCAUGCCUGUUCGAGCGUCAUUUCAACCCUCAGGCCCCCAGUGCCUGGUGUUGGGGAUCGGCCCAGCCUUCCUGUAAGGCCGCCGGCCCCGAAAUCUAGUGGCGGUCUCGCUGUAGUCCUCCUCUGCGUAGUAGCACAACCUCGCAGUUGGAACGCGGCGGUGGCCAUGCCGUUAAACACCCCACUUCUGAAAGUUGACCUCGGAUCAGGAAGGAAUACCCGCUGAACUUAAGCAUAUCAAUAAGCGGAGGA